rnacentral:rRNA from 1 species
GGGGAGGGCUGGGGGGGGGGUGAAGGCGGGGAGGGCGGGCGGGGAGGGGCUGGUUUGGUGGGGGGCUCGAGUGGCGGACGGGGGAGUAACACGGGAGUAAGCGGCCCGUGACUGUGGGAUAAGGUCAGGAAACUGGGGCUGAUACCGGAUAGGUGCUCUUGUGGCAGGGGGGGUGGUGGGUAGGUUCGGCGUUGGGGGAUGGAUGCUUGGUGUAUCAGCGUGUUGGUGGGGUAUUGGCUUGCCAAGGCUUGGACGGGUCGCCGGCCUGAGAGGGUGACCGGCCACAUUGGGACUGAGAUACGGCCCAGACUCCUACGGGAGGCAGAAGUGGGGAAGAUUGCACAAUGGGCGGAAGCCGGAUGCAGCAACGCCGCGUGCGGGAUGACGGCCUUCGGGUUGUAAACCGCGUUCGCCUGUGACGAAGCGUGAGUGACGGUAAUGGGUAAAGAAGCACCGGCUAACUACGUG